rnacentral:rRNA from 1 species
GAUGAACGCUGGCGGCGUGCCUAAUACAUGCAAGUCGAGCGAACAGACGAGGAGCUUGCUCCUCUGACGUUAGCGGCGGACGGGUGAGUAACACGUGGGUAACCUACCUAUAAGACUGGGAUAACUUCGGGAAACCGGAGCUAAUACCGGAUAAUAUAUUGAACCGCAUGGUUCAAUAGUGAAAGACGGCUUUGCUGUCACUUAUAGAUGGAUCUGCGCCGCAUUAGCUAGUUGGUAAGGUAACGGCUUACCAAGGCAACGAUGCGUAGCCGACCUGAGAGGGUGAUCGGCCACACUGGAACUGAGACACGGUCCAGACUCCUACGGGAGGCAGCAGUAGGGAAUCUUCCGCAAUGGGCGAAAGCUUGACGGAGCAACGCCGCGUGAGUGAUGAAGGUCUUCGGAUCGUAAAACUCUGUUAUUAGGGAAGAACAAAUGUGUAAGUAACUAUGCACGUCUUGACGGUACCUAAUCAGAAAGCCACGGCUAACUACGUG